CAAUGAUUUGGGUCUGAUCCCGGAGGAUGCUACUGCCAUAGGGAUCUCUUUUAGCCCCGCCAGCUGAAUGAAUUUAGAUUCAUGGCGUACAGAUCACCACACGGGGCAUAACUGACCCUUAUGACUGGGGAUAACUCUGGGAAACUGGGGAUGAUACCGGAUAUUACGCUAUGGCUGGAAUGCUUCGCCUUUGAAAUGUUUCUCGGACCCGCCUAAGAAUAGACCUACGGCUGACUGGGUCGUUGGCGGGGCAAUGGCCCACCUAGCCUAUGACCGGAACGGGGUGUGAGACCCAUAUCCCGAAUAUGGAACCUGAGAGAAGGUCACAUUACACCACCGUGUGCAGCUUGCGCGAAUCCUCCGCAAUGUGCGAAAGUGCGACAGGCGGAUCCCAAGAUGUUAUUCUUAAUAGGAUAACUCUUCAUAAGUGAAAAAUGCUUGUAAAACAAUAGCUGGGCAUAUACCGGUGCCUGCGCGCCGGGUAUCACCGGCUGCACAUGUGGCAGCUGGCUGAAUUGGGUCUAAAUGAUGACUCGCCGGAUUGACAAGACGUCGAUGAAAGCUUCUGGCCUCUCCGUAACAAUCGCUGAAGAUACUAUCAGAACCGGACCCUGGUCAUGUCAAAGGCACAACCCGGGUCGGGGGAAAUUCCCAUAUCCGAGAUAGGACAACCUGGGGCGAAAGCAUCUGACUUGAUCCAGCAUGACGGGUUUUGAACCUAAGUCUCGGGCGGAAUACGGAAUUUUAUAACCUGGUUCCACUUGCGCCGCAACGGAGGAGGAAUGGGAGCUGAAAACGCUUCCAAUUUUUUCCGGUUCCCAAGAAAGUGAUCAAUACCAAUUCGGGGAAGGUAGA
rnacentral:rRNA from 1 species